rnacentral:rRNA from 1 species
UGGGAGCAUCGGAAGAGUUUGAUUAUGAGGCUCAGAUUGAACGCUGGCGGGAUGCUUUACACAUGCGGUCGAACGGCAGCACGGACUUCGGUCUGGUGGCGAAAUAACUGAACGGGUGAGUAAUGUCAGAACGUGCCUAGUAGCGGGGAUAACUACGCGAAAGCCGUAUCAUCACCACAUACGCCCUUCGGGGAAAGCGGGGGACCUUCGGGCCUGCGCACUAUUAGAGCGGCCGAUAUCAGUUAACUAGUUGGUGGGGUAACGGCUCGCAAGGCGAGCGAUCCGUGGCUGGUUCGAAGAGGACGACCAGCCACGCUGGGACUGGACCUGACUGAACUCCUACAGGAAGGCAGCAGUGAAAUUUUGGACAGUGAAACCUGGUCAGCCAUCCCGCGUGUGCAGUCAAGGCCUUCGGGUUGUAAAGCACUUUUUUGGCAGGAAAGAAACGGCCUGGGAUAAUGCGUGCAACUGACAGUACCUGCAGAAUGAAAACUACCGGCUAACUACGUGCCAGCAGCCGCGGUAAUACGUAAGGGUGCAAGCGUUAAUCAGAUUACUGGGCGUAAAGCGUGCGCAGGCGGUUCGGAAGAAAGAUGUAAAAAUCCCAGAGCUUAACCUUUGGAACUGCAUUGCAACUGCAAGACUGGAAAGUGUGUCAAGAAGGUGGAAUUCCGCGUGUAACAGUGAAAAUAAUGAAUAUGCGGAAGGCACGAUGGCGAGCAUCUCGGAUAACGCUGGCGCUCUGCACAGCGUGGGGGCAAACGGAUUAGUCACCCUGGUAGUCCACGCCUAAACGAUGUCAACUAGCUGUUGGGGCCAGCCGGGCCUUGGUAGCGCAGCUAACGCGUGAAGUUGACCUGCCUGGAGUACGGUCGCAAGACAAAAACUCAAAGGAAUUGACGGGGACCCGCACAAGCGGUGGAUGAUGUGGAUUAAUUCGAUGCAACGCGAAAAACCUUACCUACCCGCGCUUGACAUCUGGAAUCCCGAAGAGAUUUGCGGUACCAUGAAGGCCGGAGACUUCAGUGCUGCGCAGCUGUCGUCAUCCGUGUCGUGAGAUGUUGGGUUAGUCUGCGCGACUGUCUGUCAUUGAGUUGCUACGAAGACGCCUCUAAUGAGACUGCCGGUGACAAACCGGAGGAAGGUGGGGAUGACGUCAGGUCCUCAUGGCCCUUAUGGGUGGACUUCACACGUCACUACAAUGGUCGGGACAGAGGGUCGCCAACCCGCGAGGGGAGCCAAUCCCAGAAACCCGGUCGUAGUCCGGAUCGCAGUCUGCAACUCGACUGCGUGAAGUCGGAAUCGCUAGUAAUCGCGGAUCGGCAUGUCGCGGUGACCCGUUCACGGGUCGCCGCGCACACCGCCCGUCACACCAUGGGAGUGGGUUUUACCAAGUAGUUAGCCUAACCAUCAGGAGGCGAUUCUACGGUAAGUUCUAUGACUGGGGUGAAGUCGUAACAAGGUAA